rnacentral:rRNA from 1 species
GACGAACGCUGGCGGCGUGCUUAACACAUGCAAGUCGAACGGUGAAGCGCCUUCCUUUUUGGUGGGUGUGGAUGAGUGGCGAACGGGUGAGUAACACGUGAGUAACCUGCCCCCUUCUUCUGGAUAACCGCAUGAAAGUGUGGCUAAUACGGGAUAUUCUGGGUCUGUCGCAUGAUGGGUCUGGGAAAGAUAUUGUUUCGGUGGGGGAUGGGCUCGCGGCCUAUCAGCUUGUUGGUGGGGUGAUGGCCUACCAAGGCGGUGACGGGUAGCCGGCCUGAGAGGGUGGACGGUCACACUGGGACUGAGACACGGCCCAGACUCCGACGGGAGGCAGCAGGGGGGAAUAUUGCACAAUGGGCGCAAGCCUGAUGCAGCGACGCCGCGUGAGGGAUGGAGGCCUUCGGGUUGUGAACCUCUUUCGCCAGUGAAGCAGGCCUGCCUCGUUUGUGGGUGGGUUGACGGUAGCUGGAUAAGAAGCGCCGGCUAACUACGUG